UGAAGAGCUGAGUGGCUAUUCAAGAGCUACAUAAAUAAUUUUCAGCAUUGAGACGGACAAUCCUGAAUCUCUUUCCAGGUCCUGUCACACUGAGCUUACUGGAGGGAAACUGGGCAAACUAGUUCUUGGCCCCUUAGUUUCUGACCAGUGAAGAGGCUUAUUUGGAGAGUAGGUACACAUUUCCGUGGCUCUCUUUGAAGAAACCCAGCAAGAUGUCAGACCUGCUCUCAGUUUUCCUGCACCUUCUCCUUCUCUUCAAGCUGGUUGCCCCCGUGACCUUUCAUCACCACCACUAUGAUGACCUUGUGCGGACACUGUACAAGGUGCACAACCAAUGCCCCCACAUCACACGGAUCUACAGUAUCGGGCGCAGUGUGAAGGGGAGACAUCUCUAUGUGCUGGAAUUCAGUGAUUACCCUGGAACUCAUGAGCUCUUGGAGCCGGAAGUCAAGUAUGUGGGGAAUAUGCAUGGUGAUGAGGUGCUGGGCCGAGAGCUACUGCUGCAGAUGUCGGAGUUCCUGUGUGAGGAGUUCCGGAACUGGAACCCAAGGAUCAUGCAGCUCAUUCACAGCACACGAAUUCACAUCCUGCCAUCCAUGAACCCAGAUGGCUACGAGAUGGCUGCUGCCCAGGGCCUGAACACAUCUGGAUAUCUGAUUGGCAGGAACAAUGCAAAUGGAGUGGAUCUGAACCGCAACUUCCCUGAUCUCAAUACUUAUUUCUACUAUAAUGAGAAGUACGGAGGCCCCAACCAUCAUUUACCCCUUCCAGACAACUGGAAAAACCAGCUUGUCCUCUUGCCACAGGUGGAGCCUGAGACCCGGGCUGUGAUCCGGUGGAUGCACUCCAUUAACUUUGUUCUCUCAGCCAAUCUCCAUGGAGGAGCAGUCGUGGCCAAUUACCCAUAUGACAAGUCCCUCAGACAUCGGCUCCGAAGUUCUCAUGGCACUACCACUACCCCCACACCUGACGAUAAGCUUUUCCAGAAGCUGGCCAAGGUCUACUCCUAUGCACAUGGCUGGAUGCACCAGGGCUGGAACUGUGGGGAUUACUUUCCAGAUGGCAUCACCAAUGGGGCUUCCUGGUACUCUCUCAGCAAGGGAAUGCAAGAUUUUAAUUAUCUCCACACCAACUGCUUUGAUAUCACAUUGGAACUCAGUUGCAAUAAGUUUCCCCACCAAGAGGAAUUAGAACGGGAAUGGCUGGGUAAUCGGGAAGCCCUAAUCCAAUUCUUGGAACAGGUUCACCAGGGCAUCAAGGGAAUGGUGCUUGAUGAUAACAAUAAUAAUCUCACAGGGGCUGUCAUUUCUGUCAGUGGGAUUAAUCAUGAUGUCACAUCAGGUGAACACGGCGACUACUUCCGGCUGCUGCUUCCGGGUACCUACUCUGUCACAGCCACAGCCCCUGGGUUUGACCCAAAGACAGUAACUGCAAUCGUGGGUCCUGCAGAACCAACACUGCAACCUGGUGCUAAUAGAGCCUCUUUUACAAGAGUUUGAAAAGAGAAAGUGCACAUCCAGCAUUUAGUAGUAACUGACACAGAGCAAGCACGCAACAAAGGUUAACUUCCAUCUCCAGAGAAGCACCACUCAAGUAAACCCUGGGAGAAGAACUCCCAAUGGAAGACAGGGAGGCAAAAUGAAAAUGCAGCCCCAGAUACCCAAAAAGAAGGACUCAGCCAUGAGGCAGCCGCACAGAGGUCCUGCCUGAAACCCAAGGAGCCCAGGGCAGCACUUCGCAAAGGCUCUGCUCCUGCUUUCAUAUCCCUUAGGCACACUUUCUGUUUUAUUAUCUGGGACAUAUUUAAAUAUAUAAGCCUAUUCAGACCAAUUCAGAAUCUGUUCAAUGGGUCUCAUUCUGUUCCAGGGAAAGCCCUGUCUGGGCUGUCAUUAAAGGAAUAGAAAGCCA